rnacentral:rRNA from 1 species
UACGGGGGGGGCAAGCGUUGUUCGGAAUUACUGGGCGUAAAGGGUCUGUAGGUGGCUUGUUAAGUCAGACGUGAAAUCCCUCAGCUUAACUGGGGAACUGCGUCUGAGACUGAUGAGCUUGAGUGCAGGAGAGGAAUGCGGAAUUCCAGGUGUAGCGGUGAAAUGCGCAGAUAUCAGGAGGAACACCGGUGGCGAAGGCGGGUCUCUGGGCCGUAACUGACGCUGAGGAGCGAAAGCGUGGGGAGCGAACAGG